CUUCUCUUUCUGCUGCCACCUUGCCCCCUCUCUGUCAAUAAACCUCAUGUGGAACUGCUUGGCCUGGGGUUGUCCUUCUGAAGCUGAGUGACUGUCAAGAUCAUAACAGCGAGAAUGGCCGGCCUUAACUCACUAUGGAACUGUGGAUGACCUUAAUCUUCUCAUCAUUUUCCCUCCACUGAAGAGUGCUUGAGUUACAGGCAUGUGUGACCACACCCAGUUUUAUGAAGUGCUUUGAAUCACAAAGGAUAAGCUACAUCCUUAAUCUGCAACCACGUUUAGUAAGACUUGUGUUAUAAUAGGUUGUAGAAGUAAACAUGUUGACAAAAGAAUGUCUGAAUAAAUUAUGAAACAAUAUAUGGUUGCAAAA